GGCUUCGUAGCUCAGCUGAUAGAGAGCUUGCAGCGAUUGGGCAUGGUAUUUUCGUCGCUGGUUCGAAUCCAGCCGAUGUUC